rnacentral:rRNA from 1 species
UACGUAGGGUGCGAAUGAUAAUCGGGACUACUGGGCGUAAAGCGUGCGCAGGCGGUCUGCUAAGACAGGUGUGAAAUCCCUGGGCUCAACCUAGGAAUUGCGCUUGUGACUGGCAGGCUAGAGUACGGUAGAGGGGGGUGGAAUUCCUGGUGUAGCAGUGAAAUGCGUAGAGAUCAGGAGGAACACCGAUGGCGAGGGCAGCCCCCUGGGCCUGUACUGACGCUCAGGCACGAAAGCGUGGGGAGCAAACAGG